AAGUUUUAUGCGUCAGUAAGUACCACCGAUGCAAUAGCUCCUAAUAUAGAAAAACCAAACAAAACAGCAGUAAUAACAUCCCAUCCAGUGGACAUAAUUACCAGAGGUCAAUAUAAUAAAGUUCCUACUAUAAUAGGUUACAACAAUCGAGAAGGAUUGUAUGUAGAAGUAAUUAGAAGACUGGUGGCUGCUGCAGAAAAUAAGUCACCAGACGAAGAGAAACCUGAAGAUUUUGAUUUGAAACUAUUUUUAUUACCAGGAUUAAGCGAAGAUGAUCCCAAAAAUAAACUUAUUUUGAAGACUGUCAGAGAAACUUAUUUGCAGGGACCACUAGCUCAAGACAAA
rnacentral:lncRNA from 1 species